GCUACUAUGCCAGCUGGUGGAUAGCUCGGCUCAGGUGCCGACGAAGGACGUGCCAAGCUGCGAUAAGCUUCAGGGACCCGCACGGAGGGGAAGAACUGAAGAUUUCCGAAUAGGAAUCCUCACUGCAAUUGCUUCGCGCAAUGGGGAACGCCGGGAAUUGAAACAUCUCAGUACCGGCA
rnacentral:rRNA from 1 species